CUGUAGUGUGUGUUGGCUCAGGACUGUGUAUGAAGGGAGAGGAGCUGUAGUGUGUGUUGGCUCAGGUCUGUGUAUGAAGGGAGAGGAGCUGUAGUGUGUGUUGGCUCAGGACUGUGUAUGAAGGGAGAGGAGCUGUAGUGUGUGUUGGCUCAGGACUGUGUAUGAAGGGAGAGGAGCUGUAGUGUGUGUUGGCUCAGGACUGUGUAUGAAGGGAGAGGAGCUGUAGUGUGUGUUGCUCAGGACUGUGUCUGAAGGGAGAGGAGCUGUAGUGUGUGUUGGCUCAGGACUGUGUAUGAAGGGAGAGGAGCUGUAGUGUGUGUUGGCUCAGGACUGUGUCUGUGUAUGAAGGGAGAGGAGCUGUAGUGUGUGUUGGCUCAGGACUGUGUCUGAAGGGAGAGGAGCUGUAGUGUGUGUUGGCUCAGGACUGUGUAUGAAGGGAGAGGAGCUGUAGUGUGUGUUGGCUCAGGACUGUGUCUGAAGGGAGAGGAGCUGUAGUGUGUGUUGGCUCAGGUCUGUGUAUGAAGGGAGAGGAGCUGUAGUGUGUGUUGGCUCAGGACUGUGACUGUGUAUGAAGGGAGAGGAGCUGUAGUGUGUGUUGGCUCAGGACUGUGUAUGAAGGGAGAGGAGCUGUAGUGUGUGUUGGCUCAGGACUGUGUCUGUGUCUGUAGGGAGAGGAGCUGUAGUGUGUGUUGGCUCAGGACUGUGUAUGGAGGGAGAGGAGCUGUAGUGUGUGUUGGCUCAGGACUGUGUCUGAAGGUAACAGAUUAUUCCCAGGUGAAGAGAGGACAGGUAAAAAGUAGAAACCUACAAGUGACGGCUCCUUGUAACUCCUUGUUAUUAUAAAUAACACAAAGGUAGAAAUCAAAGUUUAA